AAGGAAUCCCAACGAAGACGGCGGAAUCCCAACGAAGGAGAUGUCUCUUUCUGCUACUGGAUAGAGAGAUUGAUGAGUUAAAUGAGCAAUUGGAAGAAGAUGCAAAAUGUGUUGAACACCUGCAAGUUCAUCUGUUGGAGGAGAGAAAUAAAAUGUCUCAUGUAGAAAGAGAGAACGUGAGAUUGCAGAGCCAGAUCGACAUGUUAAUCAGUUUGGUGCAGGAAAAUGACGACGAAGAACCCUAGUUUCUAGAUCUGAUCGAUCUCUUUUAUGAUCAACAAAGAUCAGAUGAUAUGUGUCUUUAUACUGUCUUUUAUAAAUUGUUUUUUCUUUGUAGAGAAUUCAUGAUAUUAUCACAUAGAUGGGUAA